UAGGGAAUCUUCCGCAAUGGACGAAAGUCUGACGGAGCNACGCCACGUGAGUGAUGAAGGUNNUCGGAUCGUAAAACUCUGUUGUUAGGGAAGAACAAGUACNAGAGUNACUNCUGGUGCCUNGACGGUACCUNACCAGAAAGCCACGGCUAACUACGUGCCAGCAGCCGCGGUAAUACGUAGGUGGCNAGCGUUNUCCGGAAUUAUUGGGCGUNAAGCGCGCGCAGGCGGUCCUNNNAGUCUNAUGUGAAAGCUCACGGCUNAACCGUGGAGGGUCAUUGGAAACUGGGGNACUNGAGUGCAGAAGAGAAGAGUGGAAUUCCACGUGUAGCGGUGAAAUGCGUAGAGAUGUGGAGGAACACCAGUGGCGAAGGCGACUNUNUGCUCUGUAACUGACGCUGAGGCGCGAAAGCGUGGGGAGCAAACAGGAUUAGAUACCCUNGUAGUCCACGCCGUNAACGAUGAGUGCUNAGUGUUAGAGGGUUUCCGCCCNNUAGUGCUGCAGCAAACGCAUUAAGCACUCCGCCUGGGGAGUACGG
rnacentral:rRNA from 1 species